rnacentral:rRNA from 1 species
AACACAUGCAAGUCGAGCGGUAACAGAAAGUAGCCCGCUACUCCGCUGACGAGCGGCGGACGGGUGAGUAACGCCUGGGAACACGCCUUGACGUGGGGGACAACUAUUGGAAACGACAGCUAAUACCGCAUAAUGUCUUCGGACCAAAGAGGGGGACCCUCGGGCCUCUCGCGCUAAGAUUAGCCCAGGUGAGACUAGCUAGUUGGUGAGGUAAGAGCUCACCAAGGCGACGAUCUCUAGCUGGUCUGAGAGGACGAUCAGCCACACUGGAACUGAGACACGGUCCAGACUCCUACGGGAGGCAGCAGUGGGGAAUAUUGCACAAUGGGCGAAAGCCUGAUGCAGCCAUGCCGCGUGUAUGAAGAAGGCCUAUCGGGUUGUAAAGUACUUUCAGUAGGGAGGAAGGCGUAGUCGUUAAUAGCGGCUUCGUUUGACGUUACCUACAGAAGAAGCACCGGCUAACUCCGUGCCAGCAGCCGCGGUAAUACGGAGGGUGCGAGCGUUAAUCGGAAUUACUGGGCGUAAAGCGCAUGCAGGUGGUUCAUUAAGUCAGAUGUGAAAGCCCGGGGCUCAACCUCGGAACCGCAUUUGAAACUGGUGAACUAGAGUGCUGUAGAGGGGGGGUAGAAUCUUCUCGUGUAGCGGUGAAAUGCCUACAGAUCUGACGGAAUACCAGUGGGCGAAAGCGGCCCCCUCGGACAGACACUGACACUCACAUGUGAAAGCGUGGGGAGCAGACAGGAUUAGAUACCUGGUAGUGCAACGCCGUAC